ACAUGGAUGACCGUGGUAAUUCUAGAGCUAAUACAUGCUUAAACGCCCGACUUUAUGGAAGGGUGGUAUUUAUUAGACUGAAGCCAAUAUUCCUUGUGUCUAUUGCGGUGAAUCAUAAUAACUGAUCGAAUCUCUUUUUGAGAUAAAUCAUUCAAGUUUCUGCCCUAUCAGCUUUCGAUGGUAGUGUAUUGGACUACCAUGGCAGUAACGGGUAACGAAGAAUUAGGGUUCGAUUUCGGAGAGGGAGCAUGAGAAACGGCUACCACAUCUAAGGAAGGCAGCAGGCGCGUAAAUUACCCAAUCCUGACUCAGGGAGGUAGUGACAAGAAAUAGCAAACCGGGAACCUCAUGGUUUCACGGUAUUGCAAUGAGAACAAUUUAAAACCCUUAGCGAGAAUCAAGUGGAGGACAAGUCUGGUGCCAGCACCCGCGGUAAUUCCAGCUCCACUAGCGUAUAUUAAAGUUGUUGCAGUUAAAAAGCUCGUAGUUGAACCUCUGUCUGGGGCUAGUUUUGGCUUUGGUCAGGCUAGUUCUAGGCAUCCGCCUACAAGACUUAGAGGGCAUUCAGUUGUUCACUAGGAGGAGUAGGCAUUUUACUUUGAAAAAAUUAGAGUGUUUAAGGCAGGCAAUCGCCCGCAUAUAUUAGCAUGGAAUAAUAGAAUAGGACACUUUUCCAUUUCGUUGGUUAUUGGAAUCGUGUAAUGAUUAAUAGGGACAGUUGUGGGCAUUUGUAUUUAAUUGUCAGAGGUGAAAUUCUUGGAUUUAUUAAAGACAAACUAACGCGAAAGCAUUUGCCAAGGAUGUUUUCAUUAAUCAAGAACGAAAGUUAGGGGAUCAAAGACGAUCAGAUACCGUCCUAGUCUUAACUAUAAACUAUUCCGACUCAAUGUUUGACUGGCUUAUAUAACCAGUUGAGCGUUGUAUGAGAAAUCAAAGUCUUUAGGUUCUGGGGGGAGUAUGGUUGCAAAGCUGAAACUUAAAGGAAUUGACGGAAGAGCACAACCAGGAGUGGAUUCUGCGGCUUAAUUUGACUCAACACGGGGAAACUUACCAGGUUAAAACAAUAGUGGGAUUGACAGUUUGAGAGCGCUUUCUUGAUUGGUUGGGUGGUGGUGCAUGGCCGUUCUUAGUUGGUGGAGUGAUUUGUCUGCUUAAUUGCGUUAACGAACGAGACCUUAACCUGCUUACUAGACUAGCGAUCAUCAAUCGUUAGCUCUUCUUAGAGGGACUUUGGUUGUUUUAACUCCAAGGAAGUUUGAGGCAAUAACAGGUCUGUGAUGCCCUUAGAUAUCCUGGGCCGCACGCGUCA
rnacentral:rRNA from 1 species